ACAAAGAGAACCCAUAAACAGAGUCCUUCACCAUUACCAGAAAGUUUUCCUCUUUGCUUUUUGGGUUAUCGUUCACUUCGGAACAACUACCGGUUGAUUUUGAAAUAUUAGAGGAUGACUUUGAAAGGACUAGAGAGCUUUGUCAAAGACUUUUGGACCAAUUAAAGCACUUGAAGGUUGCCUUUGUCAAUACAUGACAAAAAGAGGGAGAAAUAGAUGAAAUUUGUGAAUCAUGUUUAAAAGGUUUUUAAAAUGUUUUUAUUUAGGGAGAGAUGAAAUUGUUUAUGAGAGGAGGAGAAAAUAAAAGUUUUUAUGUAUCUAAAUCAGAGGGAGAAUUAUUUUACAUAUUUGUUAUCAUUGUAAUUCAUAUUGUUUAUCUGUAUUUAUUUCCACACAUGCGUUGAUAUGCUCUUUUGAGUGUUUCAAGAAAGACAGAUAUAUUCCGAUCAAGACCUUCUGCCUCUUCUUGCAACUUCUGAGUUAGAAGUACUAGAUUGAAAUUUUUGAUGUAUUUAGGCAUUUUAUUGUA